rnacentral:rRNA from 1 species
AAAUUGAAGAGUUUGAUCAUGGCUCAGAUUGAACGCUGGCGGCAGGCCUAACACAUGCAAGUCGAACGGUAGCACAGAGAGCUUGCUCUCGGGUGACGAGUGGCGGACGGGUGAGUAAUGUCUGGGAAACUGCCUGAUGGAGGGGGAUAACUACUGGAAACGGUGGCUAAUACCGCAUAACGUCGCAAGACCAAAGAGGGGGACCUUCGGGCCUCUUGCCAUCAGAUGUGCCCAGAUGGGAUUAGCUUGUUGGUGAGGUAACGGCUCACCAAGGCGACGAUCCCUAGCUGGUCUGAGAGGAUGACCAGCCACACUGGAACUGAGACACGGUCCAGACUCCUACGGGAGGCAGCAGUGGGGAAUAUUGCACAAUGGGCGC